UACGUAGGGUCCGAGCGUUGUCCGGAAUUACUGGGCGUAAAGAGCUCGUAGGUGGUUUGUCGCGUUGUUCGUGAAAACUCACAGCUCAACUCUGGGCUUGCGGUCGAUACGGGCAUCACUGGAGUUCGGCAGGGGAGACUGGAAUUCCUGGUGUAGCGGUGAAAUGCGCAGAUAUCAGGAGGAACACCGGUGGCGAAGGCGGGUCUCUGGGCCGAUACUGACGCUGAGGAGCGAAAGCGUGGGGAGCGAACAGG
rnacentral:rRNA from 1 species